GAAAUAAACAAAAUUGAACAUGCAUUCCAUAUGGAAAAUUUGAACAACUAGGAUUAGCUUAGUGAAAUAGGAAAGCAAUUCUAAAUUUUUUUUUCUCAUGCUUCACGAGUUAUAACAAUAGGAUGCAAUCAUGCAUGUCCUUGAACACAGCAUGAAAAAAGUAUGCAAACACUCACAACCAAAAUCGAUCACAUAAUCUCACAUGAUUAUUUCAUCUCGAAUCACAUAAUUACUAUCCAAC
rnacentral:lncRNA from 1 species